GUCAACGAAGAAAAGAUGGCACAAAUGACAAACUUUUUUUUUAAAAGAUGAUUAUCCAAAUACGUACUCUUCCUAGUAUACUCUUAUUAUAAUAAUCCUUGCACCAUGCUUUUAAAACCCAGCAAAUUUCAAGAGCAUAAAACUAAAUCAUUUUACAUCCCAUUUGGAUAUGAUCACUCUCUCGGCUAUACACUUCCAAACCGAACACCCACCCCCUCGUUCCGCUUACCGGCGGCAUCCAAAAACCCCAUCAGACCCCCUCCUCUGCGUUCUCCUUCUUCUCCAAUGAGACACACCCUGUAAACACCACAUACCACCCUCCUGUUCCUAUGAUUAAACGGCCACCACCGGUUGGUGGUGGCGUACGGUGGUGCCAGGCAUCGACAAGCAGAAAGAGAGAGGGAGAGCCGAGAAGAAAGAGAGAUCGGAGAAAGGAAGCUGCCGCACACGGCGGCGUUGACGGUCGCGUACGGCGGCGGUGGAAACGUUCCUUCGACGAUGUUCCCGACAAACACCGUUCAGAUUUGAGUUAGGUUCGGUUCGGUUCAGAUCUGAGAAGGCUCUGGUUUCACGGCACGGUUCGGCUUGGGUAACCGUUAGGAGUCUCGGUUAUGUUGGGUUCAACUCGGUUACGGUCCGUGUUUGAGCAUGUUCAGUUUUGGUUCGGGUUUAAAUCAGUUAUGGUUCAACUCGACUCUACUUAGUUUUCGGUUCAGAAUUGGUUCAACUCGGUCAGACCGAGUCAAUACAGGUCAACUCAGCUGAACGAGUUAGUCAACUCAGUCAAAUUAGCGGGUCGACUCGGUCAACAGACGGUCAACCAUCAGGUCAAAACUCAGUCAACUCCAGACCCGGUAAAGUUUAUUGGAAUGCUUUAGUUGCACGCUAGCGAGUUCACAUUUGUAGGAUGACACUACGGAAUCACGCUAAGCUAGCAUUGCACAUGGAAGUCCAGGUGGCAAUUUCAAAACUAUGGAACGGUUGGAAUAGGAGAUCCCAUGGAAAUUCGAGUACUUAGUGGCGUUCAUUUUCUAGAAGUCUUAGCUUAAUUGCUUCCGCUGUGCAAUGAAGAUACCGGUCCAGUCACGCCAGCUCUGAUAUUUCGGGGUGUGACAACUAGAUCUGACCCGGAACCCGAGGCGUCACCCGAACUCCCUGUUGACCACUGUUGACCCGGACCGAGUCCCGUUGACUGUCUGAGCGAACCGCGCGACCCGCACCACAGGUUGACCUAAGCUGACCAAACCCGACCGAGACUGAGUCUGACCCGAGUCUCACGAGGCUUGACUGCUAACCUGUUAACCGUGCCAAACCAGAUUCAACAUCAUCAACCCUCAUCUUCAAUACCAAUAGUAGAAAAAGAAAACAGCUGAAUCGAGACCCGAGUCACUUACCGGAGCUGUUAAUUGGCACCAAACCAUUGCCGUGAGCCGAGCCACCGGAGAUUACCUGCAGACGCCUCCACUGCCGGACUGUUGAUGUCGACCACCAGACAAAAGGACUGACCGGCGGUCCGAGUCUUCGACCGUCGGUCCUCCCUCUCUCUCUCUCUCUCUCUCGCCUCUCAGUCUCUCUCUCUUCGCGGUGCUCUCUCUCUCUCUUUCUCUAUGCCUUUCUUCGUCGCCUGGCCCCACCGCCGCCGCUCACCACCACCCAACAGUGGUGGUGGUCCGUUUACUUCAUAAAGAGAGGGGGGUGUUGUGGGUGUGUCGCGUCGGAAAAGACCACCGGCUCCGGCCGGCUGUUUCACCGGAGGGGAAAGGGGAGACCGAGAGUAAGAGGUUUGAGGGGGGGGAGUGGAGUGUGGUGAGGAUGAGAUUUACUCUCCUGUGCAAGUGCUUUAGAACCUAGAAGGGAUGAGUUGCCUGUGUUUAUAUGUAAAAUGGGUCAAGAGAGAGGAAGUGAGUAAAUGUGAGACUGGGUUUGAGAGAUGAACGAGGGAGUGGGGGUGUUGGUUUAUGUUGUGUGCAUUUGAUCUCUACAUAUAGCCCCUUUAUAUAGAGAUUUUGUGAUCUUAGAUCUUAUAUGUAUUUAUAUUACAUUCAGGUAACGUGCUAUAUCCAUUGAAACAAAAUCUUUUGUAGAUUUUAUGAAUAUUUUGUCACGAUUUUCAAGGGAUUUUGGUGAGAUCUUGUAUAGAUCCUUAAGAAUUAGAUCUAGUAUAAUAUGCGUAGGUUUAGGCUUGUGGGUUUUGGGUUUGGGCCCAGGGCCCACAAUCCCAUCUUGUGUGUAAGUGGCCCGUAAUUUCUACGCGACCCGAUAUCGCAAUCCAAACUCCAUAAACAUAAAAUUAUUCGUGUAACAUCCAUUUUUGUCGGUGUUGUCAGUAUUUCGUACGGUUUCAGAUCGUUGUCAUUUGGUGUUUCGCAGAUUCCACGCGAAGCUUCAUACGCGUACUGUAUAGCUGAACAAACGUUCCUGGUCACUCCAAGGGCCUGGUUAAGUUAAUUAGCGUCGUAAACACUAUUUAUUUUCACGUUAAUCAUCUGUUAAUCACGUAAUUAAGGGCGUAAAUUUACCGGUUGUCACAUUCUCCCCCUGUUACAGAAAUUUCGUCCUCGAAAUUUAGACUAUGUUAUCUCUUCAGAAUUGUGUUUGAAAAGUUGAUGUCAAGGGAAACAAGAUGUAUAGAUACAGUCACUAGUGUGACUAAGUUAACAGGAUCCAACAAUGAACAGGAACUUCGACCAAUCGAAUUCCAUGUGAACGUUUAUAACAUGUAAACAAGUUCUAGACGCAAUAACAUCCACUAGAUGAACUUAGAAUCAACAACCUCAAAUAUACUAGUUUGCACGAAACGCUCGAUCGUGAUCAGCACAAGCUGCAAGUUAUACCGACGCGACAAGGUGUCGCAAUGA